GGCCGUGUAGCUCAGCUGGUUAGAGCGCAUCACUCAUAAUGAUGAGGUCGAGAGUUCGAGUCUCUCCAUUGCCACCA
rnacentral:tRNA from 1 species